rnacentral:rRNA from 1 species
UACGGGGGGUGCGAGCGUUGUCCGGAAUCACUGGGCGUAAAGGGCGCGUAGGUGGCGUCGUAAGUUUGUGGUGAAAGCCCGGAGCUCAACUCCGGGUCUGCCGCGAAUACUGCGAGGCUUGAGUGCUGUAGAGGGGGGUAGAAUGCCGGGUGUAGCGGUGGAAUGCGUAGAGAUCCGGAAGAACACCGGUGGCGAAGGCGGUCCGCUGGGGUGUUGCUGACGCUGAGGCGCGACAGCGUGGGGAGCAAACAGG